GUUAGAAGAGCACACAUAGAGGCUGGCGGUUGGUUACCCCUCUUUGCUGUCUAACGCAGCAGAGCUUUGAGAUGGACGCUGCGAUGCUAUGUGAGGUCUUAGUGUGCUUUGGACUGUAUCACACAGAGGUCGUGGCUUCUGCUUCUUCUGAGGAUGCUUGAAUUUAAAGACAGAACCCAGGGAUUUUUUUUUUUCUUUAAAGAAAUGCCUUGUAGAAGAGGACAUUUCUACAAUUGCUUGCACCAAGGACAAUUCUUUGAUAAUAUUUUAAUGUUGUUGUUUUGGCUUCAUCUGAAUGUAAGUUCAAGGCUGAGAAACAGACUUAAAACAACCCCAGAUUCAGUCCUGCUGAUUCAGGCACCAGAGAUGCCCUUUCCGCAUUCCCUGGAAGUUACAGUCUGGGGUUCCCUGCUCCUGUUCCCUGCUCUUCUUCACCUGAGGCCACGGAGUGGGGGCAGCUCCUCAUGGGAGGAAGAUGGCCUUCUCCUCACGAGAUCAGAAUCUGGAGAAACCCACCAGCAUCCUUUGCCUUUAGCUUCUCAAGAUUGCUGGCAGAAAUAUUAAUAACCUCAGAUAUGCAGAUGACACCACCUUUAUGGCAGAAAGCAAAGAGGUACUAAAGAGUCUCUCAAUGAAAGUGAAAGAGGAAGGUGAAAAAGCUGGCUUAAAACUCAACAUUCAAAAAACUAAGAUCAUGACAUCUGGGCUCAUCACUUCAUGGCAAAUAGAUGGGGAAACAAUGGCAACAGUGAUAGGUUUUAUUUUCUUGGGGUCCAAAAUCACUGCAGAUGGUGAAAUUAUCCGUAGCCAUGCAGAAAUGACUGCAGCCAUGAAAUUAAAAGACCCUUGCUUCUUGGAAGAAAAGCUAUGACCAACCUAGACAGCAUAUUAAAAAGCAGAGACAUUACUUCGCCAACAACGGUUCAUCUAGUCAAAGCCAUGGUUUUUCCAGUAGUCAUGUAUGGAUGUGAGAGUUGUACUGUAAAGAAAGCUGAGCACCGAAGAAUUGAUGCUUUUGAACUGUGGUGUUGGAGAAGACUCUUGAGAGUCCUUUGGACUACAAAGAGAUCAAACCAUUCACCUCUAAAGGAAAUCAGUUCUGAAUAUUCAUUGGAAGGACUGAUGCUGAAGCUGAAACUCCAAUACUUUGGCCACCUGAUGGGAGGAACUGACUCAUUGUAAAAGACCCUGAUGCUGGGCAAGAUUGAAGGCAGGAGGAGAAGGGGAUGACAGAGGAUGAGAUGGUUGGAUGGCAUCACCAAUUCAAUGGACAUGAACUUGGGCAAACUCCUGGAGAUGGUGAUGGACAGGGAAGCCUGAUGUGUUGUAGUCCAUGGUGUUGUGAAGAGUUAGAUACAACUUGGUGACUGAACAACCAGGGAGUAGAGGCUGAAGAUCUGUUUAUAAGUGUCACACUGUCUCCCUAAGGUCCAGCAGGUACACUGGAACACCUUUCAAGCCCUGGAUGAAUGUCUUGUUUGUGAGUUCAUGGUUCUCUGGGUUAUGAGGUUCACUGUUUCAUCCAUCACCUGUGGUUUAGAAGAACAAAGUGGUUGCAAUUUAA
rnacentral:lncRNA from 1 species